AAAAAAAGAAAAAAAAUGUUGAAAAAUAUUCCCAUAGACUGAAAAUAUAUGCUGUACAAUUAUAUGGCAAUAGAAAAAAAGAAUAUUAACUACUUUUUUCUUUUCUUUACUUUGGCCAGUACAGGAUGUUCUGUUUAAAUGUCUAACGUGUCUAAAGCUCAGCAUUAAAAGAACAGAUGUUUUAUGAAGAAUUUAACUCAUGUUCUUGCAUAUUUGACAACUAUUACAUUGAAGUUAUUUGUUUGUAGAAGACUAUGAAACAUGACUAUUCAAAUAUAUGAUAACUUACCUUCUAGGAGAAAGAUCAGAUCAACAGAAAAGACUUCGGGGGAGAGCCACUGAUACAUGGGAAUCUCAUGAACAGAAUUGGAUUUGGAGGCACAAAGCUAUGUUGGAGGCAAGGCACUGAGACAGUCCUCAACAGUCUUAACUGCUUGGCUGUUAAGACAUCACU
rnacentral:lncRNA from 1 species